UUGAGUUUGAUCCUGGCUCAGGAUGAACGCUGGCGGCGUGCUUAACACAUGCAAGUCGAACGAAGCGCUUGAGAAUGAUUCUUCGGAUGAAGUCUUUUGUGACUGAGUGGCGGACGGGUGAGUAACGCGUGGGUAACCUGCCUCACACAGGGGGAUAACAGUUGGAAACGACCGCUAAUACCGCAUAACCCGCUGGUGCCGCAUGGCACUGACGGAAAAGAUUUAUCGGUGUGAGAUGGACCCGCGUCUGAUUAGCCAGUUGGCAGGGUAACGGCCUACCAAAGCGACGAUCAGUAGCCGGCCUGAGAGGGUGAACGGCCACAUUGGGACUGAGACACGGCCCAGACUCCUGCGGGAGGCAGCAGUGGGGAAUAUUGCACAAUGGGGGAAACCCUGAUGCAGCGACGCCGCGUGGGUGAAGGAGUAUUUCGGUAUGUAAAGCCCUAUCAGCAGGGAAGAAAGAAGACGGUACCUGACUAAGAAGCCCCGGCUAACUACGUGCCAGCAGCCGCGGUAAUACGUAGGGGGCGAGCGUUAUCCGGAUUCACUGGGUGUAAAGGGAGCGUAGACGGCCGCGCAAGCCAGGAGUGAAAGCCCGGGGCCCAACCCCGGGACUGCUCUUGGAACUGUGCGGCU
rnacentral:rRNA from 1 species